rnacentral:rRNA from 1 species
UCAGAUUGAACGCUAGCGGGAUGCCUUACACAUGCAAGUCGAACGGCAGCACGGACUUCGGUCUGGUGGCGAGUGGCGAACGGGUGAGUAAUGUAUCGGAACGUGCCUAGUAGCGGGGGAUAACUACGCGAAAGCGUAGCUAAUACCGCAUACGCCCUACGGGGGAAAGCAGGGGAUCGCAAGACCUUGCACUAUUAGAGCGGCCGAUAUCGGAUUAGCUAGUUGGUGGGGUAACGGCUCACCAAGGCGACGAUCCGUAGCUGGUUUGAGAGGACGACCAGCCACACUGGGACUGAGACACGGCCCAGACUCCUACGGGAGGCAGCAGUGGGGAAUUUUGGACAAUGGGGGAAACCCUGAUCCAGCCAUCCCGCGUGUGCGAUGAAGGCCUUCGGGUUGUAAAGCACUUUUGGCAGGAAAGAAACGUCAUGGGUUAAUACCCCGUGAAACUGACGGUACCUGCAGAAUAAGCACCGGCUAACUACGUGCCAGCAGCCGCGGUAAUACGUAGGGUGCAAGCGUUAAUCGGAAUUACUGGGCGUAAAGCGUGCGCAGGCGGUUCGGAAAGAAAGAUGUGAAAUCCCAGAGCUUAACUUUGGAACUGCAUUUUUAACUACCGAGCUAGAGUGUGUCAGAGGGAGGUGGAAUUCCGCGUGUAGCAGUGAAAUGCGUAGAUAUGCGGAGGAACACCGAUGGCGAAGGCAGCCUCCUGGGAUAACACU